AACGAACGCUGGCGGCGUGGAUAAGACAUGCAAGUCGAACGGGAUUUUAUUUGUAGCAAUACACGUAAAGUCUAGUGGCGUAAGGGUGCGUAACACGUGGCAAUCUGCCGAGAAGUGGGGGAUAGCUCGCCGAAAGGCGAAUUAAUACCGACUGUGGUUAGUGAAGACAUCUUCGCGAUACCAAAGCAGGGGGAACCUGGCGCGUCUUGAUGAGGCCGCGGCCUAUCAGCUAGUUGGUGAGGUAACGGCUCACCAAGGCUAUGACGGGUAGCUGGUCUGAGAGGACGACCAGCCACACUGGAACUGAGACACGGUCCAGACACCUACGGGUGGCAGCAGUCGAGAAUUUUUCUCAAUGGGGGAAACCCUGAAGGAGCGACGCCGCGUGGAGGAUGAAGGUCUUCGGAUUGUAAACUCCUGUCAUUUGGGAACAAUUGUUGGCGAUUAACUGUCGUCAGCUUGAUAGUACCAGAAGAGGAAGAGACGGCUAACUCUGUGCCAGCCGCCGGGUAACAC
rnacentral:rRNA from 1 species